AUGGCUCAAUUGGUAGAGCAUGGCGCUUGUAACACCAGGAUUGUAGGUUUGAUUCCUGCU
rnacentral:tRNA from 1 species